rnacentral:lncRNA from 1 species
GAAUCCAACAAAUCUUGAAGGUUUAUAGAAGUGAAAAUAGCACCAACAGAAUUCAAGCACUAAGAAACCAACCAGGUUCCCAUACAAAAGCUAAUAUACAGGUAAAACUUGAUAAUCUACGGGGAAAAGCACACCAAGAGAAGCAAAUAAUAAAACGCGAGCCGAAGGAAUCCAAUUUUUUUGGAGUUGGAAAGAUUAUCAUCACCUUCUGUUUAGCAUCACGCGCAUCCACCUGUCCUCUGCUGACUGCAAGCGGCAACAUCAAUGGUGUCGGGUAAGUAUCUAUACCAUAAAAACGGUUGCGGCAGAAAAAUAAAUAGAUUAGUAUCAUGAUUCAUGAUCACUGUAAAAGUAGUAAAUAUCUUGUACUAAGACAAUUUCUUAGUUCAGCAUUAUCCUGCAGAGCUGAUAAUAUCACC